rnacentral:rRNA from 1 species
UACGUAGGGUGCAAGCGUUGUCCGGAAUUAUUGGGCGUAAAGAGCUUGUAGGCGGUUUGUCGCGUUGUUCGUGAAAACUCACAGCUUAACUGUGGGCGUGCGGGCGAUACGGGCAGACUGGAGUACUGCAGGGGAGACUGGAAUUCCUGGUGUAGCGGUGGAAUGCGCAGAUAUCAGGAGGAACACCGGUGGCGAAGGCGGGUCUCUGGGCAGUAACUGACGCUGAGGAGCGAAAGCGUGGGGAGCGAACAGG